UACAGAGGCCUCAAGCGUUGUUCGGAAUUACUGGGCGUAAAGGGCAUGUAGGUGGUUGUGUAAGUCAGAUGUGAAAGCCCCGGGCUCAACCUGGGAACUGCAUUUGAAACUGGCGGGCUUGAGUGCGGCAGAGGGGGGUGGAAUUCCGCGUGUAGCAGUGAAAUGCGUAGAGAUGCGGAGGAACACCGAUGGCGAAGGCAGCCCCCUGGGCCGACACUGACGCUCAGGCACGAAAGCGUGGGGAGCAAACAGG
rnacentral:rRNA from 1 species